ensembl:lncRNA
CGGAGGCUUUGCUGUGCAACACUCAGACUGCACGAGCCCGACGGGCCUGACGGGCCGCGGCUUUUUGGGAGAGCACUCAGCGGCACAGUGGCAGCCUGUGAUUGCUGUGGUGGAGCCCUGAGGUCAUCACAGUCGGGGCUUUGAUGGGCAGAGCUUUGACUUUUCUGUAGCUGCAUGAACCUGUUGUUGAUGUCAGAGAGUCAAACUCUGCUGAAGAGUGGGUUGUUUCCUGUUCAGCCACUGGUCGACCUGCUCCCACUGUAACACUCAGUGUCUCACA